UUUAACUCAUCCAGAUCCA
rnacentral:snRNA from 1 species